rnacentral:rRNA from 1 species
GAUGAACGCUAGCUACAGGCUUAACACAUGCAAGUCGAACGGGGUUUAAGAAGGAAGCUUGCUUUCAUUUUAAACCUAGUGGCGGACGGGUGAGUAACGCGUGAGGAACCUGCCCUUCAGUGGGGAACAAUAACUAGAAAUGGUUGCUAAUGCCGCAUAAUGUCGGAGAGCCGCAUGACUUUCCGACCAAAGGAUUUUUUUCGCUGAUGGAUGGCCUCGCGUCCGAUUAGGUAGUUGGUGAGGUAACGGCCCACCAAGCCUACGAUCGGUAGCCGAACUGAGAGGUUGAUCGGCCACAUUGGGACUGAGACACGGCCCAGACUCCUACGGGAGGCAGCAGUGGGGAAUAUUGGGCAAUGGGCGAAAGCCUGACCCAGCAACGCCGCGUGAAGGAUGACGGUCUUCGGAUUGUAAACUUCUUUAAUUGGGGAAGAACAAAAUGACCUACCCAAAGAAUAAGUCACGGCUAACUACGUGCCAGCAGCCGCGGUUAAUACGUAAGUGAAAAGCGUUAUCCGGAUUUACUGGGGGCGUAAAGGGCGUGUAGCAGUCUUUGCAGUCAGAGUGAAAUUUCCCUGGAGCUCACUCGGGCGCCUGCCUUUCUGAACCUGCAGACCUUUGAAUUGCUUGGUAGGGGGGGAUAUAACCGGGCA